rnacentral:lncRNA from 1 species
CGAGUUAACUUUUUUUUUUGAAACACACUUAUAUUAAAUCUUCAAACAAAAGUAGAUGGCGCCAUUAAAAUCAGUUCAACAGAAAAAAUCUGUUUUGCUAGCUUAUGAGCUUCUACAUUUUUUUCUCUAGAGAUUCAACUAAAAAAAAUACAUUCAAAAAAAGCAGCUAAAGAUAAGAUAACGGCCGUAAUCCUAUAGAAGCAUGAAGAUUUUGAUUUGAGCGCCUUGACUAGAAUGGCAAAAUCCGAUUCACAUCUGAUUCUUGCUAGUCCUAGUUCGCGACACUUCUCGACGACUGCUCGCAAAACCAGUACCUCCGCCGCCUGAGGGGAUCUCAUAUGGUGAGCAGGAACAGAGUGUGAGGAUCGUCCAUUUUGUGGAAAUUUUGCGCUACUACUUUCCAUCCCAAACCUGCAAGCUUUAAAGACUCAUUCCAAGCAUCAUCAAUUUUGAUCAGAGCAUGUGGUUGGAACCAUCUGGGUACUAGAAGUCGGUCCCAUUCCAAGUUGGCAUGAGCCCCAUUCUCGAGCAGUAGUAAUAUGUUUAUCGCUGAAGACAAGGUUAUUUCUCGCAGUCCAUAUGUACUACAGAAUCCAGGGCGCCAGUUGUCCCUCAGUCACUUCGGUUGAUGGUAGAUUCGUCUUUGAGAUUAGGCUGAUCCAUAGACUUCUUGAAUCUAUAGAUUCAUUGUAUUACAAGUUAACCACAAAUUAUUUUUUUCAGGCAUUUCGUGACAAACCGAUUAGCUAUAAAAAUUAGUUUAUAGGCAAAAAAGUAAACCGUAGCUAUCUAGAUUUUUUUUAUUAGCGAC